CCUACGGGUGGCAGCAGUGAGGAAUAUUGGUCAAUGGGCUUACGCCUGAACCAGCCAAGCCGCGUGAGGGAAGACUGCCCUAUGGGUUGUAAACCUCUUUUGUCAGGGAGCAACGCCGGCUACGUGUAGCCGGACUGAGAGUCCCUGAAGAAAAAGCAUGCGCUCACUCCUUGCCAGCAGCCGCGGUAAUCCGGAGCAUGCGAGCGUUAUCCGGAUUUAUUGGGUUUCAAGGGUGCGUAGGCGGAAUGCCAAGUCAGCGGUAAAAUCGCGGGGCUCAACCUCGCUCCGCCGUUGAAACUGGCGUUCUUGAGUGGGCGAGAGGUAAGCGGAAUGCGUGGUGUAGCGGUGAAAUGCAUAGAUAUCACGCAGAACUCCGAUUGCGAAGGCAGCAUACCGGCGCCCAACUGACGCUGAAGCACGAAAGCGUGGGUAUCGAACAGGAUUAGAUACCCUUGUAGUC
rnacentral:rRNA from 1 species